AUACGUAGGGUGCAAGCGUUAAUCGGAAUUACUGGGCGUAAAGCGUGCGCAGGCGGUUUUGUAAGACAGUGGUGAAAUCCCCGGGCUCAACCUGGGAACUGCCAUUGUGACUGCAAGGCUGGAGUGCGGCAGAGGGGGAUGGAAUUCCGCGUGUAGCAGUGAAAUGCGUAGAUAUGCGGAGGAACACCGAUGGCGAAGGCAAUCCCCUGGGCCUGCACUGACGCUCAUGCACGAAAGCGUGGGGAGCAAACAGGAUUAGAUACCCUGGUAGUCCACGCCUUAAACGAUGUCAACUGGUUGUUGGGGAUUUAUUUUCUCAGUAACGAAGCUAACGCGUGAAGUUGACCGCCUGGGGAGUACGGCCGCAAGGUUAAAACUCAAAGGAAUUGACGGGG
rnacentral:rRNA from 1 species